UUCUAUGACGUUAGCGGCGGACGGGUGAGUAACACGUGGGCAACCUGCCUGUAAGACUGGGAUAACUCCGGGAAACCGGAGCUAAUACCGGAUAACAUUUUUUCUUGCAUAAGAGAAAAUUGAAAGAUGGUUUCGGCUAUCACUUACAGAUGGGCCCGCGGUGCAUUAGCUAGUUGGUGAGGUAACGGCUCACCAAGGCAACGAUGCAUAGCCGACCUGAGAGGGUGAUCGGCCACACUGGGACUGAGACACGGCCCAGACUCCUACGGGAGGCAGCAGUAGGGAAUCUUCCGCAAUGGACGAAAGUCUGACGGAGCAACGCCGCGUGAGUGAUGAAGGCUUUCGGGUCGUAAAACUCUGUUGUUAGGGAAGAACAAGUACAAGAGUAACUGCUUGUACCUUGACGGUACCUAACCAGAAAGCCACGGCUAACUACGUGCCAGCAGCCGCGGUAAUACGUAGGUGGCAAGCGUUAUCCGGAAUUAUUGGGCGUAAAGCGCGCGCAGGCGGUUUCUUAAGUCUGAUGUGAAAGCCCACGGCUCAACCGUGGAGGGUCAUUGGAAACUGGGGAACUUGAGUGCAGAAGAGAAAAGCGGAAU
rnacentral:rRNA from 1 species